rnacentral:rRNA from 1 species
GAUGAACGCUGGCGGCGUGCCUAAUACAUGCAAGUCGAGCGAACAGACGAGGAGCUUGCUCCUCUGACGUUAGCGGCGGACGGGUGAGUAACACGUGGAUAACCUACCUAUAAGACUGGGAUAACUUCGGGAAACCGGAGCCAAUACCGGAUAAUAUAUUUAACCUCAUGGUUCAAUAGUGAAAGACGGUUUUGCUGUCACUUAUAGAUGGAUCCGCGCCGCAUUAGCUAGUUGGUAAGGUAACGGCUUACCAAGGCAACGAUGCGUAGCCGACCUGAGAGGGUGAUCGGCCACACGGGAACUGAGACACGGUCCAGACACCUACGGGAGGCAGCAGUAGGGAAUCUUCCGAAAAGGGCGAAAGCCUGACGGAGCAACGCCGCGUGAGUGAUGAAGGUCUUCGGAUCGUAAAACUCUGUUAUUAGGGAAGAACAAAUGUGUAAGUAACUAUGCACGUCUUGACGGUACCUAAUCAGAAAGCCACGGCUAACUACGUG